GAUUUCUGGUUCGGCGCACUUGGCCCGUCUCGGUUUACGGGAUUGUGUGCCGGUGUGCGCCAUCCAUCCUUCGAUGAGAACAUUGCUGCCCUUUACUGGGUGUGUAAUGUCUCUCUCGAUCUUUUACUUUGAAAAAAUUAGAGUGUUUCAAGCAGGCUUUAUGCUAUGAAUACAUUAGCAUGGAAUAAUAAUUUAGGACUUCGGUUCUAUUUUGUUGGUUUCUAGGACUGAAGUAAUGAUUGAUAGGGAUAGUUGGGGGUGCUAGUAUUCAGCGGCCAGAGGUGAAAUUCUCGGAUUCGCUGAAGACUAACUUAUGCGAAAGCAUU
rnacentral:rRNA from 1 species